AUUAGAAUUGUCAUUAUUUACACUUUCACUAUUUUAUUCAUAGAAUCAGUGUUUAUAUAGAUUGUAUAUAGAAGAACUUUGGCCUGUCAAAAAUGAUGGCACCACGUGAGCCAAAAAUCAUUUUUGGUGAUAUGAACACUCCCAGCAACCCAAAACAGGUCUGCAGUAAUCAGAGUGGAAGGAGGGAAGCAGAUGUCAGACACCUCCUUUUCUACCCCUCCUCUCUCUUAAUGAAGGUUUUAAGAGGUAACAAUGUAUAGAGAUAACAAGAGCUCAAAGACACAGCAUUCUUAAAGAACUGUGCAUGCAAGACUCACACUCAUUUCCUGCAAGACUGCACUGGGGUCAGUGGAGCAAACGUUACAGGCUUUUUGUUCUAAAGUUUGCAUUUAAACAUCACAGCAAUAGAAAUCUGGGUCCGUUCAAUCAACAUAUAAUGGUCUCAUUCCUCCAGAGUUGUAACAUAAGUAACCUUAGAAGUAAUUAAUAGACGUUGUGAUGGAAUAGCAGAAGUGACAAAGUUGCCAACAAGGCAGAAAGAAAAAAAAAAAAAACAGGAUUCUACCACAAAUUCCCUAAUGUAUUUGAUGGUUUAUUGUUUUUUUUUUCCCUGACAAUAACAGUAAGAAAACAGCAAGGCAAUGGCGUGAACGCUACACAAUAGUUACCGGCUCAACCAUAUUUUACUGACCAAAGACACCACAGUCCCGCCUUUUUGUUUUCUAUUGGCUCAAAAGACAGAGGUUCGGAAAUUCACAGGUCAAAGUUCAUCUACACAUAGUGAAAGUAACUGUCUCUUUCACUUCCCACAUCUUUUCCUUUAGUUAACUGGCUUUCCACCAGGCAAGUUUUAUUAGCUGCUUUUGCUUAAACAGAAAAGCAUACUUUGCAGUUCUCCCAUAUCACCGUAGCAAGGGGGGUAUGGCUAAACCACAGAUGUUGGCACCUCUGGAAUACUGAAUUCUUUAUUUUUGCCCUGGAGCCCCAAAGCUAAAACAUAAGGUGAUCUGGUGCUGUUCUGAUGGCAGAUUGACAGGCUGUGGCUUUGGAAAGCCUUCAUUCUGUAGCUUAGCAACACACAGCCUGAGGAGAAAAGUGCUGAUGUCCUCUGGCACCACAGCACGAAUGUUCUUAAAGUCAGUGAGAUCUGCAACACAGCCAGAAAAGAAAGAGCAUUAGAUCUCUGUGUUACCCGAGCUGAGAGGAGGAGAGGAGAGGAUGCGUGUGAUGGUGUUGAAUACAGAUGAAGACAGGCCGGCUCGCUCACUGUCCAGAGGCUGGCCUGCCUUCUGAGCCU